GAUGAACGCUGGCGGCGUGCCUAAUACAUGCAAGUCGAGCGAACGGACGAGAAGCUUGCUUCUCUCAUGUUAGCGGCGGACGGGUGAGUAACACGUGUAUAACCUACCUAUAAGACUGGGAUAACUUCGGGAAACCGUAGCUAAUACCGGAUAAUAUUUUGAACCGCAUGGUUCAAAAGUGAAAGACGGUCUUGCUGUCACUUAUAGAUGGAUCCGCGCUGCAUUAGCUAGUUGGUAAGGUAACGGCUUACCAAGGCAACGAUGCAUAGCCGACCUGAGAGGGUGAUAGGCCACACUAGAACUGAACCACGGACCAGACUCCUACGAGAGGCAGCAGUAGGGAAUCUGCCGCAAUGGGCGAAAGCCUGACGGAGCAACGCCGCGUGAGUGAUGAAGGUCUUCGGAUCGUAAAACUCUGUUAUUAGGGAAGAACAUAUGUGUAAGUAAAUGUGCACAGCUUGACGGUACCUAAUCAGAAAGCCACGGCUAACUACGUG
rnacentral:rRNA from 1 species